UUGUCAGUCCAUUUUCUGUAUCUAUGAAUCUGUCACUAUUUUACUUGUUAGUUCACUUUGUUCAAUAGAUUCCACAUAUGAGUGAAAUCAUAUGCUGUUUGUGUUUCCCUGGCUGGCUUCUAUUAUGCAAAUACUUCUUGCUGUUCUUUCCCUCCCUCUCUUCUUCUCUUUCUUCAUCACUGAGGAAAGAACACCCACUAUUCCAGUCAUCUGUUGCUACAUAGCAAACGACACCAAACUUAGUGGCUUAAAUCAACAGCCAUCCUGUAUUUUGCUCUUGUAUGGGCAAGUGUGUGUGGGGGUCUUGGUAGGUUAGCUUCUCCCUGGGCCACGCUGGCAGCUGAGCCUGCUCACCUGGGGCUGGAGGGUUCACUUCCAAGAUAGCACACUCACAGGGCUAGGUGUUGGCCUCAUUGCCCACCAGGCACUGUCAGCUGAGGGGUUCAGGUCCCUUAAAGUAGACCUCUCCAAGGGGUUUCUUGGGCUUUUCCAGAGCAGGGUGGUGGGGCUCCAAGAGUGUUCCAAGAGGUCCAGGUGGAAGCUUAAAGGCUUCUUAGGACCCCACCGAAUCCCAGAAUCUCAUUUCUAUAGCACUGUCUUGGUCAAGCAAAGCUAUGGCAUUUCAAAAUCUAUUAUCCAAUUAUCCUAGGAGGUGGACAUGUGGUGUGAGAGACUUCACAGUAACAGUGAUGGCAGACAUUCACGACUCCAUGUGACUUAAUAUAAGGCACUAAGUUCUUGAGGUUAGCAGCAGAAUUCUGGGUGGACUAGAAAUCUGGGAGGUUUCUCAUGUUAAUCAAGAAUAAUGAAUUCAUAUCUGACAGACAAUUUAUAGCUGAGUAACUUUAGGCAUGCUACUCAAAUUAUACAGACCUUAGUUUUCUCAAUUAUAGGAAAUAACGCUAUCUAACUUUAUUGCCUUGUGAAUAAUAAAGAUGAUAACAGAAAAAGGAGGGAGGACACAUUAAAGUGCCUGAGUUAUAGUGGGCAGUCGAUAAAUGGAAGCUACAUAUUUAUCUGUGUAGUGAAACGUUUUCCAGAAAUCCUUUGAGAUCCAUUGCAUUUGAGCUCGUUAUUUAUUUUCAUUAUUGUUUUCUCAUUCCUCUAUUUUUGUGUAACUCAGUUUUUCUUAUUAUAAGAGCAAUACAUGUACACUUUAAACACUUAGAAAACAUAGAUAAAUAACAUUUAAUAUUGAAACAAUGAUGUUAUCUAAACCACAAUCCAUAUUCAUGUUUCAUUGAUUGGCUAAUAAAAUAUAUUUUAGCUUUUCAGUUUUUCCCAGCCAAGGAUUUAAUUCUACAUCACUUACUAUGUUAGUGGUCAUUCCUUUUCAGUUGUCUUUUAAUCCAGGACAGUUUCUUUGCUUUUCAUGGUGUUUUUAAAAUUUUGAUACUUAUGAAGAGUUCAAGUUAUUUUGUAGAAUGCCCAAAAAGUUGGGUUUGUCUGAUGUUUCUUCAUAAUAAGAUUCAGGUGCCACCAUCAUCCUGAAAUCUUUUUUGUUUAGUUUCAUUAAAUAAAAGUACAGUUGUAGUACUAAAAGUAGAGUUUUUAAAAUUUUGCAGUUUGUACCUUUAUAAAGUGGGUACAUAAUCUUUCUAAGGCAAUUAUUAUUAAUUUAUAAUAUGUAUACAAUAAAGUACACAAAGUAUUAAGUAUACAGUUCAAUGAAUUUUUAGUGGAGAAAAUUUUUUACUUAUGUAAACACCUGUGUGACUACUUCCCAUUCCAAAAUAUAAAACUUUUUCAGUUUCCAAAAAGACUUUGUAAUCUUUUGGUACUUUUUUCAUUUAACAUCAUUUUGAUAAAAUGUAUCCACAUGGUUGCAUGCUAUAUCAUUAUGCUCAUUCAUUUUGACUCCUGUACCGGAUUCCAUUGUAUAAAUACACUACUUUUCCUGAUCCACUUCCUCAUUGAUGGGUAUUUGAGUGGUUUCUAGGUUUUAGUACUGUGAACAAUCUAGUUCUGAAUAUUCUUGGCUGUGCAUUCUGAUAUACAUAUAUAAUUAUACCUGAGUGUAAUUGUUGGACCGUAGAAUAUAUAAAUAUUUAUUAUUGGAACAUACUAUUCAAUUAUUUUCCAAAGUGGUAACAACAUGUUACAGUCCACUGGAAGUGUGUAAAAGAUCCCAUAGACCAAAAUCCAUUUCAAAACUUAGUAUUAUAAACUUUCAAUUUUGGUGAGUUGAAUGUAUAUAAAAUUAUAGGUCAUAGAAGUCUCAAUUUGUAUUUUUCUGACCCUCAAUACUAUUUAACAUCUGAUCAAAGCUUUAUUGACUAUUCAUGCUUCUUUUUUGAAAUGCCUGUUCGUGAGUUUUGCCCAUUUUUAGUUGGUUUACUCUUUAUUUUUGACUUGUAGGAUAAUCUCAGAUUUUUCUUGAAAUACAGUGUAUCCAUCUUUGUCUUUCUGCUUUCUGCUUUUGCUUUCCAACUUAGCAAUAUUUCUCCACCCUAUAAUUAUUUAAAUAUUUAUCUGUAUUAUUUCUUCCAGGGCCUCCUGGGUUUCUCUCUGCCAUUUCCAUCUCUAGCAGGCCCCACCUAAGCCACAUUCCAGAGCUCCAGGUCUACAGCGUGGGACCUGGGGCUUUUGCACUGCCUAAUCAGGUACCCAGGCUUCUCUGGGUCUCCACCCUGGCCCCUGUCAGGCUCCACCCAAGCUUGGCUGAGGCUGGGCUCAGAGGAUUGCCUAGAGUUACUGGUCUAUUUCCAGCAGCUGAGUCAUUUUCCUUUCCAAGAAACCAAGGUGUAUAACAACUUACUGGAUGCUCUGGGAGAUUCAGCUAAACUGCUUUUACAAAUGAAGGCACUGAAAUUCUAAGAGGUGAUGUAAUGUGUCCAAAUUUCACAGCCAGAAGUAUGAGAAAGGCGUGGAGAUACCAACUGUUUCCUUUGGGCUACCAGAUCUGUGUCCGAAAACUUGGUGUUGGAUUUUGUGGACAUGUGUUCAACUCUCCUGUCGCUGAGUCCCAAAUCUUCUGAAAGGAAGUCCGCGCAGCCGUUCAACUUGUUUCUCUGUUUUCAUCCCAGUCCCUUCUACCUGCUCUUCAUACAACACUCAGAGGGAAACUCUCACUGAAGCCAGUUUGUCUCUCUGCAGCUUCAAAUGCAUCACUUGCUCCUCUUUGCACUUACAUCAAAAACUAAAUCUUUUAGUAUGGUCUGUGUACUUGGCACCUGUCUGCUUUCCUCUUUAUUUCCCACCCUCAUUUUUCUCUCCCCUGUAACCACACAGACCUCCUUUAUGUUCUUUGAAUGUUCCGAGUCCUUUUUCAUCUUAAGACCCUUGUUCCUGCUCUUUCUUUUGCUGAGAAUGCUCCUCUCCUGGCCCUUUGCAUGACCAAUUUCUCACCAUACUUUAGUUUAUGCAUUAGCUUAAAUGCCACCUCCUCAGAGAAACUGCUCCUAAGUACACCCCUGCCUCUCCUUUGUAAUGUACCACAGAGCUUUGUUUCGUGCCUUAUUGGAGCAUGUUAUAAUGUGUAAUUACAUUGUUUAUUUGCUUUUUACUCCUUUCUGUGGGGCCCAGUCCUCCAACAGUCUGCACAUGCCAAAUAUCUGUCUCAUUCAGCUGUGUCCUCAGGGGCUGGGCCCGUGCCUGGCACCCUGUUCAAUCAAUAUUUGUUGAACUAGUGAAUGAAUCCAGAGGCUACUCAAUAAUUAGUGGUUUUCAUUUCCUUCUCUUCUCUGAGCAGGAGUGGCCACUCACACAUACUGGCACAACCUGAAGGAACUGGACCAGCACAAUGGAAAUAACAGCUCAGUGGAUACAUACAGUCUGCAUCAGAAAAACCGGCUAAACCAGUUGGGUUAGCUACUGUUUUCUGUUUUGUUUUGUUUAACAAGUUCCUUGGCUUCUGAGCCUCUUCUGGCCUGGGUGUACAUACUCCUGGGGAAGGGAGGUUUACAUUAAUGAUAGAUUAGGUUAUACUCACAUUAUGAGCACUUUACCUGGAUAAAUCAUUACCGAAGAGAUACCUAUUAGGUUAUGACAGCAAAAUAGUUCUUGAUGAGAUUCCACACCUUUGAAAAAGAGUAGGAGCCAAUUGGGUAAACUUUUCAAGUCCUUUAUGUUUGUGGAGCCCUUUCUCAAUACCUGGUGCUCAGUGAAGUGGAGAGACAGAGUUCUCAAGGCUUCCGCAUGCUGAACGAGGAAGCAGACGCAGAAUGGUUCAUUCUCAGGAAGUGUUCUAAGCAAAACGGGGAUUGGCCAUCCUAACUGGGAUUAACAGAUAUCUUUUCAAUAAUAGUCUCAUUCUACCUUGCUGACCCAGUCUGGCUGGAAGUUCCAGAGGUUGAAGGACUGAACCCUUUCUUUCUGGGAAGAAGUACAGAAGAAAUUAAGGUGAAAAACAGACUGUGCCUAUCUCUUCAGAAGACUGUGAAUCUGAACACAAACAAAAGAACAGAACAAGACUCUUUCAUGUACCCGUCUUGGUGUUCCCAUGAGAAUCAAUGGCAGGGUACAUGAGGACUGCAGUGGGCUGAAUGUUUGUGUCCCCUCAAAAUCGGUAUGUUGAAACCCUAAUCCCAAUGUGAUGGUGUGUGGAGGUUGGCUUCUUUGGGAGGUAACUUAGAUCAUACACAUGGAGCCUUUAGAAUGGGAUUAGUACCCUUGUGAAAAGAGGUUAAAGAGCUCCCAACCUCUCUUUCCACCACGUGAAGACACAACAAGAAGACGACUGUCUAUAUAUAAACCAGAAGAGGGCCCUCAUUGAAAGCCUGACCAGGCUGGCACCCUGAUCUUGGACUUCCAGCUCCCAGAACUGUGAGGAAUACAUGCUUGCUGUUUAAGCCACUUAGUUUAUGGUGAUUUGCUGUAUCAACCCAAACUAAGACAAGAAUCUUAGGUGGAGGUGAACUUGACAUAUUGUAUUUGGGUUUGUAGCAGCUACAUUUUCAUAACCCAAAGCAGAGCAUGUUUCCCACUAAUGAUGUUUUUCUGACUUGGGCAUUUGUCUUAUGGAAGUUAAGGGAAAGAAUGCUAAAAUGUUGUACUUGUGACUUUAGGAUAUAUGACUUUGGCUCCUUAAAUAAUAAAGCCUAAAGUUCUCCCUCCACCCUCUCAUAUUGUUUGGUGCUGCCCACACAAGUCACCUUGCUUUCUUGUCCCACAUUUCCUUUUGAGAAUGCUUUGUUUUGAGUCUCUGAGACAUGGAAAAUCUAAUCAGAUUGAAAAAAUAAAACUAGAAGAGUGUAAGGACCCAGAGUGCGGUAGGACAAAGAACACAGGCUUGGGAAUCAGAUUAAGUCUGGAUUUUGGCUCUGCUCCUCUUCAGUUAUGUGACAUUGGGCAAAUGAGUCGAAUUUUCUGAGCCUCAGUUUUUCUUAUGUUAAAGCAGAGAAUGCUAGAAGCCUCAUAGAAUUAGUUCCCAAUGCAGAAAGUGGUGUUCCCAAUCUGCACAUUUUAUUAUG